AUGAGUUUGAUCCUGGCUCAGAUUGAACGCUGGCGGCAGGCUUAACACAUGCAAGUCGAGCGGAGAGAGGUAGCUUGCUACCGAUCUUAGCGGCGGACGGGUGAGUAAUGCUUAGGAAUCUGCCUAUUAGUGGGGGACAACAUUUCGAAAGGAAUGCUAAUACCGCAUACGUCCUACGGGAGAAAGCAGGGGAUCUUCGGACCUUGCGCUAAUAGAUGAGCCUAAGUCGGAUUAGCUAGUUGGUGGGGUAAAGGCCUACCAAGGCGACGAUCUGUAGCGGGUCUGAGAGGAUGAUCCGCCACACUGGGACUGAGACACGGCCCAGACUCCUACGGGAGGCAGCAGUGGGGAAUAUUGGACAAUGGGCGCAAGCCUGAUCCAGCCAUGCCGCGUGUGUGAAGAAGGCCUUAUGGUUGUAAAGCACUUUAAGCGAGGAGGAGGCUACUUUAGUUAAUACCUAGAGAUAGUGGACGUUACUCGCAGAAUAAGCACCGGCUAACUCUGUGCCAGCAGCCGCGGUAAUACAGAGGGUGCAAGCGUUAAUCGGAUUUACUGGGCGUAAAGCGCGCGUAGGCGGCUAAUUAAGUCAAAUGUGAAAUCCCCGAGCUUAACUUGGGAAUUGCAUUCGAUACUGGUUAGCUAGAGUGUGGGAGAGGAUGGUAGAAUUCCAGGUGUAGCGGUGAAAUGCGUAGAGAUCUGGAGGAAUACCGAUGGCGAAGGCAGCCAUCUGGCCUAACACUGACGCUGAGGUGCGAAAGCAUGGGGAGCAAACAGGAUUAGAUACCCUGGUAGUCCAUGCCGUAAACGAUGUCUACUAGCCGUUGGGGCCUUUGAGGCUUUAGUGGCGCAGCUAACGCGAUAAGUAGACCGCCUGGGGAGUACGGUCGCAAGACUAAAACUCAAAUGAAUUGACGGGGGCCCGCACAAGCGGUGGAGCAUGUGGUUUAAUUCGAUGCAACGCGAAGAACCUUACCUGGCCUUGACAUAGUAAGAACUUUCCAGAGAUGGAUUGGUGCCUUCGGGAACUUACAUACAGGUGCUGCAUGGCUGUCGUCAGCUCGUGUCGUGAGAUGUUGGGUUAAGUCCCGCAACGAGCGCAACCCUUUUCCUUAUUUGCCAGCGAGUAAUGUCGGGAACUUUAAGGAUACUGCCAGUGACAAACUGGAGGAGGGCGGGGACGACGUCAAGUCGGCACGGCCG
rnacentral:rRNA from 1 species